AAUCGACGACUCAGCUGCACCAUAAGCACCCACACGAAUUGCUUGAUUCAUUGAAGAAGACGAUUAGAAGCAGCGCCCGAGUUCGGGUCUGUAGCUCAGUUGGUUAGAGCGCACCCCUGAUAAGGGUGAGGUCGGCAGUUCGAGUCUGCCCAGACCCACCAGUUUACUGGUGAGUUAGCUGGUCAGAGAGACGCCUCCACGGUAUGUAGAAAUACGGGGCCAUAGCUCAGCUGGGAGAGCGCCUGCCUUGCACGCAGGAGGUCAGCGGUUCGAUCCCGCUUGGCUCCACCACUUACUGCUUCUGUUUGAAAGCUUAGAAAUGAGCAUUCCAUUGAUCUUGAUGAUCAAUGCCUGAAUGUUGAUUUCUAGUCUUUGAUUAGAUCGUUCUUUAAAAAUUUGGGUAUGUGAUAGAAAGAAAUAUAGACCGGGCACCUCUUUCACUGGUGUGUGUCCGGGCUAAGGUAAAGUUUGUGAAUGCAAACUUUCGGCGAAUGUCGUCUUCACAGUAUAACCAGAUUGCUUGGGGUUAUAU
rnacentral:tRNA from 1 species